UCGAACCCAAGACCCUUCAGGCCGCAGGCCAACGCUCUAACCACGGAGCCAAACCGGCCAGGGCAUUUUGCGGCAUCUGGAGGUGACUUUUGUAGAGAAAACGGUUUUGUCGUCAAGCUAGAUGGGGGCCGUUGCUUAUGACAAACUGGACUUAGCGGAGCUCGAGGUGGGUGUGCAGACAGGCGCAUCUGGAGGUCGCUGGCUUUUCUGGAGACAAUUGCCUGGUGCCGGCGGCUGCCUCCCUUGAAAACCGACAGUGCGUCCCUGCCGAGCACUGGGAUUUCACGUUCACUCGUUUCCUCUGAUGUCCGCUCGGUACAGUGCGUUUCAGAGGCUCCUUUUUAAGAUACCAAACUGGGGCUCAGAGGGGCCAGGUCCCUGAAGGCCACACAGCCCGGAAGAUUCUGUGACCUGUUUGUCUCUGGGUCCUGGGCUCCGCCCCAGGCCUGGCAGCUCUGCCCCUAGAUGUUGUGUCCUUGGGGACUUGAGCUCGCCUGCGCCCCGACCAUGUACCCCAAGUUCCUAUUGUAGCCAUUUUGGCCCAGGCAACGCAGUGAGAUGGGGACUCAUUUCUUGCAAACGCUGGCUGGAGGGUGUGGCCGCACACAAACUCGAUGGCCCACUCCUGACCCCUCUUGCCCUUGGGUUCCUCCGAGGCCUUGGGUGUCCGGCAUGGCGUGACCCAGGGUCAGGCUUCGGUCACUCCCCUGGCAUUUCUCCACGUAAGUCGAGGGCCUGCUGCGUGCUCCGCACGUCAGCACCAGGCUGGGGCGGGAAGGGUGUUUUUCCUACAUGUCGUGACCUUGGAGAGGGGCCACAUUUCAUGCCAAAGACAAGUGUGGACAAGUCGGGGCUGAGCCUCUGGGAUUGGAGUUCCUGCCGGGGCUCAUAGCCCCCUGCCCCCAACCUGCCCUUGGCUGUGUCCACCCUGGCCCCAGGCAAGUGCGUCACUUGUAAGAUUAGAGGCCAGGAAGGAAUUUCUCCAGGCAUGAGGCGCGGAAUGUGUUCCCGCACGUCUCCAGUGCCCCUGGGCUCUUACACCAAGCUCAGACAGGUGAGAACAUGCACCCUCUUGAAUCUUGCACGUGGAUCGGAGGUGGCUUUGCUGUCCCUCUGUUACAAGUGAGGAGACCAGGCCCAGAGAGGCGAAGGGACUUGUCCAGGGCCACCACGGCGGAGCUGAAAUGGGAGCCCAGCAGCCCUGGGUCACCUUGCAGAUGGACACAGGAAUGCCUUGGAGUGCUGGGAUCCUCAUGGGCAUGGGAUGUGGCUCGUCCCAGAACACCCCCAGAGAAAGUGGGAGCCAUCUCAGCCUUCAGAAGAUGCUCGGAAAGUGCACAGCUCAGGUGUCGCCCCUUCUUCCCGGCCACCGCAUUCCCCAGAUGCCUGGUGCCUAAAGCUUAGGAGAUUCUGCCACUCAGGUGGGAAAGUGGCACUGAGGUGGGACUCCAGUCCGAGGCCGCCAGUCUUCCUCAAGGGUGUCUCGGGAGCCCUGAAGUCCGUCCUGGCACCAAGACUGACGCCCUUUGGGGUGAGGUAGUAGGUUGUAUAGUUUGGGGCUCGGCCCUGCUCUGGAAUAACUAUACAACCUACUGUCUUUCCUGAAGAGGCUGUAACAUCGACGGUGGACACGCCCAGGACCUGGCCAGGGAG